rnacentral:rRNA from 1 species
AAACUAACAAGGAUUCCCCUAGUAGCGGCGAGCGAAGCGGGAAGAGCUCAAAUUUAUAAUCUGGCACCUUCGGUGUCCGAGUUGUAAUCUCUAGAAAUGUUUUCCGCGUUGGACCGCACACAAGUCUGUUGGAAUACAGCGGCAUAGUGGUGAGACCCCCGUAUAUGGUGCGGACGCCCAGCGCUUUGUGAUACAUUUUCGAAGAGUCGAGUUGUUUGGGAAUGCAGCUCAAAUUGGGUGGUAAAUUCCAUCUAAAGCUAAAUAUUGGCGAGAGACCGAUAGCGAACAAGUACCGUGAGGGAAAGAUGAAAAGCACUUUGGAAAGAGAGUUAACAGUACGUGAAAUUGUUGGAAGGGAAACGCUUGAAGUCAGACUUGCUUGCCGAGCAAUCGGUUUGCAGGCCAGCAUCAGUUUUCCGGGAUGGAUAAUGGUAGAGAGAAGGUAGCAGUUUCGGCUGUGUUAUAGCUCUCUGCUGGAUACAUCUUGGGGGACUGAGGAACGCAGUGUGCCUUUGGCGGGGGUUUCGACCUCUUCACACUUAGGAUGCUGGUGGAAUGGCUUUAAACGACCCGUCUU